rfam:Triticum aestivum genome assembly, contig: Triticum_aestivum_CS42_TGACv1_scaffold_501330_6BL
UUUGUACUCCCUCCGUCCGGAAUUACUUGUCGCUGAAAUGGAUAAAAAUGAAUGUUUCUAUAACUAAAAUACAUCUAGAUACAUCCAUUUCUAUGACAAGUAUUUCCGGACGGAGGGAGUAAUCU